rnacentral:lncRNA from 1 species
GGUGUGAUUUGAGGGUUGUGAGUGAUGCUAAUAUGUUUUACAUUGAAACUAUUUUGAAGCAUUUGGGAAUUAGUCAAUAUUUUUCAGAGAUUAACACUAAUCCAGGUUAUGUUAAUCAAGAAGGAAGGGUUAGAAUUUCACCUUACCAUGACUUCAACAAAUGUUCACAUGGUUGCACUCUUUGCCCUCCAAACAUGUGCAAGGUAUAUUCAAUUAUAGUUGUUUUUUUGUCUCUUAUUAGAGGCCAAUAGAUUUUAUGGAAAUAUAUAAUAAUGAAUAAUUUUUAUGUAGGAUCACUAGUUUAAAAUUAAAUUAAAUUAAAAAAAUUGGAGUGAAGAUUCAAUUCUUCACAAAUUUCAUAUGGGACAAUUCAGUCCUGACAAAAGUAAAACCCAAAUUAAUCCUGAUUUUUAAUAUUUUGUGACAAAUUAGUCUCUCUAUUAGAAUAAAUCAGAGACUAGUUUGUCUUCAAUAUGAAAAUGUUAAAAAUUAAUAUGUUUUGUGGAAUGAAUUGUCCCGUCAAAAUUUUGUGAGAGAUCAAAAUGGAUCUACACUCAAAAAAUUAUGUCGUGACUAUAAGCAUAAUCCAGUUGUUAAGAAUAUUAUCAAAAAAAAUAAAAAAAGUAUGGAAAUUAAUUUAUAUAUGAUAGAAUAUACUUAAUUCACUUAAGAUUGAAAUUCUAAUCAUCAAUCUACUUGACAAAAAAUAAAAUAUGGAAAUUAAUUUAUAUGAUAGAAUAUACUUAAUUUUUUUAAUCAUUAUUUCAGGGUUUAAUCAUUGAUAGAAUUCAAAAUACAAUUUCUGAAGUGGAUAAGAAGAGGUUCAUCUACCUUGGUGAUGGUGCUGGUGAUUAUUGUCCUAGUUUGAGGCUUAGAGAAAGAGACUUUGUGAUGCCAAGGAAGAAUUUUNNNNNNNNNNNNNNNNNNNNNNNNNNNNNNNNNNNNNNNNNNNNNNNNNNNNNNNNNNNAGAAGAGUUGGAACAAGUUUUGUUGCACUUGAUCAAUAAAAUUAUGAUGGAGGAACAUGUUCAAUUCAUUUCAACUGAUUGCAAGUUGCAAACUCUAUCUAUGCCUGUGCUUGAAUCAUUGCCUAAAGCUCUCUCAGUUAGGCCAUAAAUUUUUAGGGUCAUUGCAAAUGUAUCUAGGCUUUUUUUUUGGUCCUUAAAGUGACUUUAAUAAACUUUUUCUUGAAAUUGGUCUAUGAUGGGAAAUGGGAAAAUACAAUGUCUAUCUAAGACAAUUACCAAUUUGCCCUACAUCUUGUAGAUUAUUUAGUUUAACAGCUAAUUGCUAUGUAAAACUUUAUAAAAUACUGGUCUAUGGUUUGAGAAUGGUUGGUUAGUAGGUAGUUUCUUACUCAUCACAAUGAGAUGAACUCUUUGAUCGUGGUUAAUAUUAUCAUAUCUUGGAAAGCUCGGAACUAUCAUUUGUUCCCUCUCUUCAAGAAUUUUUAUCUCUGGUGAAUUCAAUAAACUGAAAUUGUGAGAUCAAACAUAUUUACCGCGCAAAAACUCAAUUAUUGUAUUGAUCGUCUAACAAAUUUUGGUCAUGGUGGCGAGUUUGAUUCGGUAGAGUUUUCAUCCUAAUCCCCAUCCUUUUCUAAAGCUUUUACUUUGAAAUUAAAUUAGCAUUUAAUCCCAAAAACAAUUGGACCUAUUAUGUUUUUCUCGUUAGCAUGUGGUAGCAGCAUCCACAAUAUAGUACUGAAUUUUCUAUUUUUUUUAUAAAUCAUGUAUAUUAAUCAUCAAGUGAUUGACUACAUGCAUGAUACCAUCGAUAUAUCUUAUAACUUAAUUCAUUCCAUCUAAUUGUUCAUACAUAAAUAUGACUCUUCAAAUCAUGUAUGUCAUGUGAAAAUGAAUAUUAAACAUAUUUUUAGAAAUACAAAGUUUUUGUAAAUUCUAACUUCUCUAUUCCGAAUCCAUAUAUUUUAUAUUCUACUAUCUAUCAAAUAAGUGAACUUUUAAAAUAAUAUCAUAAAAUUUUAUAACUUAUUUAUUUUUUAGACAACUUAUAAAUUUCAUCGGUUAACACUUUGAACUUAGGUGAAAAAUAUGAUCAACAUUAAUUAUUUUUUGGUCACUAAUUUCUCUUUAUAUACUCUUUUUGUAUUUUCAUCUUUUUCUUUUAUUCUUCUUUUUUUCGGAAUACAUCAAAAUAGUAAACACUUGCUUAUAAAAAAAAAAACACUUAUUUCGAUAUUUUUUCGGGAAAAAAAGUUUCGAUUUCAAAUAAAAACAAUUCUGAAGUUUUUCUGAAAAAAAGUUUCCGUUCUUUUUUAGGUAAAAAAGUUUCGGAUAUUUUCCGAAAAAAAAAGAUUUCGAUUUUUUCUGGAAAAAGUUUCGAUGUUUUCCGGAAAAAAGUCCCCGGUUUUUGGGAAAAAUAGUUUCGAAAUGUUCACCUGAAAAAAUAUUGCUGAUACAAAAAAAAGUGAAAAAACAGAAAAUAUUUGAAAAAAUUUUCCGAAUAAAAUAUCGGAACUAUUUUGUUCCGACAAAAUCUCCGGAAUUGUUUUUAUCUAAAAUCAAAAUUUUUUUCCCAAAAAAUCGGGAACUUUUUUUCUGAAAAAAAAACAAAAAAAAAAAAUUUCCAAAAAAAUAUCGAAAUUUUUUUUCCGAAAAAAUCGGAAACUUUUUUUCAAAAAUAAAAAAUAAUAUAAUACUGACAGUACACCAUAAUAUCAUGUACACAUUCAAUCCGGUCCACAAAACAUAUGGUGCAUUGAUGAAAGACCUAUCAUGACCUCCCACUCUAGAAUCCGCCUAGAAUUAUUCUGUGCAUGUAACUCCGCAACAACAACUCAUAAUCCAUUUUUUUUCUUUCUCAUAAGAUUGGAGGGUUAGUUAUAAACAAAAGUGCAUGUAACUCAUUAGUCUAACUAACCCUAAUCUAUUUCAAAUCAUCUAAUCCAACAGCUGAAAUUAAAUUUUGAAAUAUAGUUAGAUCAUGUGUUCCAUAUUUCACUACAAAGCAGUUUUUACGUUAAACAAAUCCAGCGAGAAAUCCUUAUAAAUUACCUAUUAUUGUGAACAACUUUUACAACAAAAAUACUCACUCUAUACUUCAUAACAUAUAUCAUUCUCAUUCCCUUUCUCGUCUCUCAAAGAAAACAAAAUGUCUAACAUUGUUAUUGUUUUCGACUUUGACAAAACCAUCAUUGAUUGUGACAGUGAUGAUUGGGUCAUUGAUCAAUUUGGUUUCACUGAUUUCUUCAAUCACCUCCUUCCCACCACGCCUUUGAAUUCCCUCAUGGUAUAUCUCUCUCUCUCUCUAUGUGCUCUAUUUUAUAUACAUAAUACAUAUUUUUUCUGAGAUAGAUACGACACCAAACACAUGCAAUAACAUCACAUUAUAUAUAUUUUAAAUUAUUCUAGGUGUAAAUGUUUCAGUGUCAAUUCUUUAAGUUACAACACAAUCACAACUAAUGAUAUCUUAAAACCCACUUGAGUUGGUCUGGUUGUAUUGACUUGAGAUCCGGGAGUGCGCUCCUCUUUAAGGUCUCAGGUUUGAUUUUCGUGCCAAUUUAGGUGGGCUAAUUUAGUUUUUUAGAAAAAAAACUAAUGUUUUCUCAAUUUUUUAAUCUUCAUUAGUCAACUGGAAUAAAUAUCUGAAGUUUAUGUUGUUUUUUUUUUGGAAUUAUAGCAAAGAAUGAUGAUGGAGUCUCAUUCACAUGGUAAAAGCAUUGAAGACAUUGAAAAAGUUCUUGAUAGGAUUCCUAUUAACCAAAGAAUAAUUUCUGCAAUUAAAUCAGCACAUGCUUUAGGGUGUGAUUUGAGGAUUGUGAGCGAUUCCAAUACAUUUUUCAUUGAAACCUUUUUGAAGCAUUUGGGAAUAAGUGAAUGCUUCUCAGAGAUUAACACUAAUCCUGGUUAUGUUAAUCAAGAAGGAAGAUUAAGAAUUUUGCCUUAUCAUGAUUUCAAUAACGCUUCACAUGGUUGCCCUCUAUGUCCUCCAAAUAUGUGCAAGGUACAGUUCAUGAUUUUAAUUAAAUAUUUUGAGUUAAAUAUGUUUUUGUUUUAGUCCCUAUUCAAUUAUGGGUCUUACUAACGAGUCCGUCCGGACGAGACGAUCUUUAAAUUGAGAUUUUCAAUACUUUUAUUGUUAUCUUUUGAAUUUUUUUAAAAAUUCAUAUUUAAUUCUNNNNNNNGUAUUACAGGGUUUGAUCAUAGAUAGAAUAAAAAAUUCAAUUUCUGAAAGGGGUAAUAAUAAGAGGUUUAUUUAUCUUGGUGAUGGUAUUGGAGAUUAUUGUCCUAGCUUAAGGCUUAAAGAGAGAGACUUCAUGAUGCCAAGGAAGAAUUUUCCAGCUUGGGACUUAAUAUGCAAAGACCCUUCACUUCUUAAGGCUGAAAUUCAUGGUUGGAGUGAUGGAAAAGAGUUAGAACAAGUUUUGAUGAAGUUGAUUAACAAAAUUAUGAUAGAGGAAAAUUAUGAUAGAGCAAGCUGCAAUCUCUAUCAAUUCCUGUGGCCAUAGAAUUUUAGUUUACAAUUAUUGCAAAGUGUAUAAUUGGUUUUUCAUGUAUGAUUUGAUUAACUUUAAUCAAACUUUUCUAAUAAGAUUUGCAAACUAGCUAAACAUAUGGCUACUUUUGCAAGAGCAUGAAUGACCUUAUCGACUUGACUCCUAACGAACUCUAGAUAGGAAUUCCUCUAAAAAUAGACACCAACAACUACUAAUAAUACUACCAAACUCAAAGUGCUCUUGUUUGUUGUCAUAGAAUGAAUAUUAAAUAUAUAUUAAGCNNNNAGAAAUACAAAAUGACUGUAGAGUUGGGCGCCGACCAAGGUGAUUGUUUUUUCUUGGCAAGCCCUUCUUGCCAGUUACUUACUAGGGAGAAUUUGGUGAAGAGAGGCAUUGCUAUUGAAGGGCCUUUUGCGGGUUGCGUGUUGUGUGGAGAGGGUAGAGAAACGAAGGAUCACUUGUUUGCUUCUUGCUCUACGGUUUGAGAGGUUUGGUCCAAGGUUCAUCGGUGGUUUGGUUUGUCGUCAGUUGUUCCGUGUACGAUUGGCUCCUUAUUUCAAGGCUUUCUUUCACACAUUCGUUGAGCCUUUUGAUUGUAUAGUUCGCUAGUUUGGGCGUGUUUAGUUCGAUCAAAUGAUGUGUAUUUGAUUUUUUUUUUUUUUUGGUUGCGUACUAUUUGUACUUCUCCUACUGUUGUGGGUAGAGUAUCUCUUGUACUUUCUCCUUUUAUAUAUAUAUAUAUAUAUAAUCUUUUGCGGUUAAAAAAUAAAAUAAAAUGACCUCGAUUAUAACUAUUGCAUUUGUAUUAUGUUAUAUUAUCUAUCAAAUAAGUGAACAUUUUAAAAUAACAUCAUAAAAUUUUGCAACUUAUUUUUUUUAACAAAUUUUAAAUUUAAUCCCUUUGAACUUGGGGGAGGAACUUACUUUUAAUUUAGAAAUUUAAAAGUAACGAAUUUUAAUUUCUUAUACUCGAAAGACCAAGAGUAUAAGAGUAAAUAAAAUAAGUUUUAUACGUAAAGACAUCACAUUUUACAGGUAAGAAUCAGAAUUCGAAUCCAAACACUUUACUUAUUCUCAUCUUAAAAUAAUUUAUUUUUUUUAAAAUAUGUUUGAACCCUCCUACAAAAUUAUACGUGAAGCUCUGACACAGCAUAUUUUUUUUUUUUGAUAAGAAAAAAUUGAAUUAUAAGAAGUACUAGGUGUACUCAAACCUUACAAUUCAAGAAAAAAUAAACUGUUAGAUGCUAGAAAUGCACACUAACGGGUCAUUACACCAAUCAGAAAAUACAAAAGAAGAAAUAUUCCCUAUUCAUCCUAUAAACCAAAACCAGGAAAUAAACAUAAUUUGAUCAACUAAGGAAGACAAAUUAACCACUUCUCCUCUAAACAUGAUGUUAUUGCGUGCACGCCAUAUACUCCAAGUGGUUGCUAACCAAAUUAUAUGCCUUACUUUCUUAUGCUUCACCAAACUGCCAAAAGUGUUAAAAUGCUUCCAUCCUUCUUCAAAGGGUAUGAAUUCCACAUUCAACCACCUAAAAAUUUUCUUCCAUACUUGUAAUGAAAAAGAACAAUUAAAAAUAAAUGGUCGAUGUCUUCUUCUUCUCGGAAACAAAACGCGCAACUAAAUUCAUGAGGAUUGACAAUAAUAUUUUUUCUCGCCAAAGCCAUACGUGUCGGAAGUCUUGCUAAUAAUAACCGCCAUCCGAAAAUGAUCACUUUGGAAGGAACAUCAUUCUCCCAUAAAUNNNNNACGUUACUGUCAAAAGUCGAUUGUGCAUCGCGAUUUUGAAGGAAAACAUAAGUUGAGCGCACCGAAAAAAUGCCGGCAUGGUUUGGGAUCCAUUUCCUGCGAUCUGGACUGUCUGGCGUUGGACUGAUAUUUGUCAAUAUGCAUGUUAGUUCUGAUAAAGCUUUCAUCUCGGUUGAUAGCAAUUCCUCAACCCAUUGCAAGUGCCACUGCCAAUUGCUGUCAUUCCAAGAGCCAACAUCUGUUACUACAGCCUCAUGAUUCAAAGCUUUGUUAUACAAUUGUGGAUAAAGAUAUUGCAAGCUAUCAUUCCCUAACCAUUUUAUUUGCCAAAACCGAAUGCUAUCUCCUUUGCCCAACACAGUACACACAUUGGAUUUGAACCAAUCACCAUUAUCUUCUCCUCCUACCUUCAUGAUAUCUCUCCACCAUAAUGACUGUCCUUUUUCAAACCUAUUCAUGGUGCACAAAAAAAUUUUGUCCAUUGAACCAUAUCUAUGUACUAAUAAUUUGCACCACAUGGAAUCUCCUUCGUUAAGUGCUCUCCAUUUCCAUUUGCAAAGUAAUGCUUGAUUGAAAAUGUCAAGGUUUUUUAUACCCAAUCCUCCUUUCUCCUUUGAUAAACAAAUAUUAUCCCAACUAAUCCAACAAAUCUUCUUUCUAUCCAAACCACCUCCCCACAAAAAAUUUCGUUGGAUACUUAUCAAUUCUCUGACACAGCAUAUUUGAUUCAUCAAGACAUUAUUUUAAGUUGACCCAAAAAUAUUAAAAUAGAAAACCACUAAAACUGCCCCCAAUUAAUAAGCUUUUAUGUUCUUCCAUGUUCACAACUCUUUGUUAAUACACUCACUGCUCAGAGUCUUUAGUAGUUAGUACUGAGAUGAGAUGAGAAGCACCAACCAUUCCCUAGUAAAUACAGGGUCUUGGGAUUUUAGUGAUCUCAAUUACUUUCCUUUUACUAGAAACUCUAAUAUGUUUUAGCUUACUAUGUUACAUUAAAAUAUUGUGCUACAACCAAAUAUGAGUUGUUCAAUCCAAAUGCAAUGAUUUAGGUUUGUUUUCUUCAACAAAUUCAACAACUUAAUUAAGAAUAUCCAAAUUCAUCUAUAGAACAAAAAAGGUAGAUUAUACACAAGUUAUACUCAUCAUUCAUAUUUCAAUUGAUUUUUUACCCAAAAAAUUAAAUCAUUAAAAACAAUUAUGCAUAAGAAAACCCACAACAACAAAAAAAGUAUUCAUACUAUAUGUUAUGAAACAAAUGUGUUAUUCAUACUUAAUUUCUAAUAUACGGUAUUUUUCUAAAUAAUGUCGUGUUCCUUCAUUGAAUAUAUUAAAUAAAUUCAAAAAAAAAUAUAAUACACCUAACACAUAUAACAAGAUAUAUAGUGUGUUUAAAAAUCCCUACGAAAGGACAGUCUUAGAUGUAUAAACCGGAACAAGAGUUACGGCAAGACCAAUACCAAAUUCAUCAAGUAGUCUUGCUAAACACAAGACAAAUAACCACAGUAUAACCAAACCGCCAAAGAAAUAUAGCACGGAUAAGAUUAUCAACAAUGGUCUCCGAUCAGGCCAAACCGUUAUUCAAUCAUAGAAAAUUUUAAUUAGUGUAGCUCCAAUGAUAUAAACGACAACCACAAUUUUGAAGAAUCACUCAUUUUGAAGAAGGUAAGCUUCCUUUCAGAUACCUUGGAAUUCCCAUGACUAGUAAGAAAUUAGCUAUACACAACUACAUGGACCUGAUUGAUAGAAUAGUUGGAAGAAUCACUCAUUGGAGUUCUAAACUCCUAAGCUACGCAGGGAGAAUUCAGCUUCUCAAAAGUGUAAUUUUUGCUAUGACGAAUUAUUGGAUGCAGUGCUUGCCUUUCCCUAAAGCAGUGAUACGUAAGAUUAACUCCAUAUGUCGGACUUUCUUCUGGACGGGUAGUAUAGAGAAAAGCUGUAAAGCCCCCGUUGCUUGGAAAUCUGUGUGCCAAACUAAGCGUAAUGGUGGUCUGAAUCUCAUUGACCUUGAGGGUUGGAAUCAUAUUUCUUUGCUGAAACUGUUAUGGAAUCUUUGUGGCAAAUCAGAUAGCCUUUGGGUAAAAUGGAUCCAUGCAUAUUAUAUUAAAAACCAGCAGAUCAUGGAGGCUUAUAUACCAGAUAAUGCCUCCUGGAUAAUGAAGGCUGUUAUGAAGCAACGCGAGUGUACCCUUCAAAAUCCGGUGUGGACAGAGAUGUUGAAUGCCCAGAAAUUUAAUAUGAAAAAGAUGUACUUGGCUAAUUAUGAAAGAUCUCAAAGUGUUCCGUGGAGAACUUUGUUCUAUGGAAACGUGGCCCGUCCUAGAGCUCUUGUCAACCUCUGGCUUGCUUGUAAUGGGAGGUUGGCAACUCGUGACAGAUUACACAAGUUUGGGAUUAUUGACACAACUUGUUGUUGCUUCUGCAGUGCUGAUGAAACUCAGCAGCACCUUAUGUUUGAUUGUAAUGAAACAAGAGAUAUUUGGAGAAAAGUCCUUGAAUGGAUUCAGAUUGCUCAUUAUCCAUUGGGCUGGUGUCAAGAAGUGGAGUGGAUUAUGAAGCAGACUAAAGGUAAAGGAGGUCGUGCAAAGAUCCUAAAAUUGGCCUUCACUGAAUGUGUCUAUGAGAUUUGGAGGUAUCGAAAUUAUAUUAGUUUUGGUAAUGCUGUACAGAACAAUCAUACUGAUAAGAAAAUUAUUGAUACUAUUGUCUAUAGGGGCUGGACCAAUAGAAAAUUAAGGACAUGCCUAGCUAAACUCAUGAUGUAAAUAGUCCUCUUCUUUGGUUGUUGUUUUUGUCGUUUUUGAUCCUGUGGACUGGAUCCUUGUGAUCGCCUUGUACCUCUGGUUUUUGAAUUAAUCAAAGUUUUCUUUUUGAUUCAAAAAAAGACAACCACAAUUUGCAUAGUUGUUUGCAUAGUAACAACUUUUUUAAUGUGAAGAAUAAAAUUUGCAAUCUUUGCAUUAGGUGUAAUAAACAUAUUAUUUCUUGGUUUAUUUGUGUUCAAAUUAUACUUAAAACAUUCCUUGUGAAAGCAACAUAGGGUCGUUUGUUUUGACUUUUUUAAAAAAUGAUUUUUAUAGUGUUAUAGUGUGGAAAAAAAAAUUUACAAAUAAACUUUUUAUAAAAGCUUCAAAUUAAAAUUUGAUUUGAAUAAGUAUUCUUAAAAUGUUAUUUUAGGUAUUUCAUCAUUUUAUUGAAAAAAAAUUGGAUAUCAAAAUUUCAAAAAAUCACUUAAUUUUGAAGCUAUUUCAAAUAGAUUUUCAUAAAUAUCAUUUUUGAAAUAUAACUUUUUGAAAAAAUUGCGAUUUUGACUAUGUUUUGAUCUUUAAUAAUAUAUGUUUAUAUCAUAUGAUGUCAAAAUUAGUGUUUUAAUUUAGAAAAAUAAAUAUAAAAAACUUGUAAUAUUUCGAAAAAAUGGUUUUAUAAAAUCUAUUUUUAAAAAUACAAAAAAAAAAUCCAUUUUUUUAAAACUGGAAUAAAUAGACCCGUAAUGUUAUGUUAUAACUUAUAAUCCUAGUAAUUAAAAAUAAUAUAAUACUAAAAAUAAUAAUGAGAGAAUGAGAGGUUUAAAUUUUAACAAAGCUGUUGGGAUACGUUAUAAAAUUUAAAUGCAGUCUCUACUCAUCAUGGUCUAGUUUAGACAAGUAUAUUACCAAUAUAUGAUGAGUAAUCGGUCAAUUUAGUCGCAAAAUUAUCACUCUCUCACCAACUUAGUCCCUAAACUAUUAAAAAUAACUAAAAGGUCCCUAAUCUAUUUUUCAUCCGUCAAUUUAGUCCUCGGUUAACUUGUCUAUAAAAUCCUAAAAUAUUAUUACCCUUUCUUCUUCCACGUGCUUCAACGGAAACAACCACCCUGCUCGCCGCCAACCACUCCACUCUCCGGCAACAACCGUUUUUCACGCAACAAAAAUAUAACCUCUAGUUGCGGCUAAAAACAGAUCCGUUUUUUGUUCUCACUUUUGUAAAUUUAUAAGGGUUUGUGAUUUUGUUUUAUCCCUUUGAAGUUUAUGCUGUGAUCUCUUGUUUUUUGCGGGUCUGGGAGUUUUUUAUCCUUCUACUCCUUUUCUUCUGUUAUUAUAAGGAAUGUUGUGGGGUGUGUUAGUGUGUAUAAUGAUGACAUAAAGGGUACAAAAAGUGUCAUUGUAUGUAGUAUGCUAACAAAGUCUUAUUAAAUUUCAAGCAUUGUAUGGUGAAUUAUCUUUGGAGGCUGGUGCAGCUUUUUUCAUCUAUGCUACUGUGUUAAGAAGUGCCUUGGAGAUAUUAUAACAUGUUUGUUAAGAAUCAUAAAAUGAUGUUUAUGAAGGACUAAAUUGAAGGAUGUAAAUAUAGUUUAGGGACUAAGUUGGUAAGAGAGUGAUAGUUUAGGGACUAAAUUGACUGAUUACUCAAUAUAUGAUAAUCAAUGUGAACGUCCCAGAUAAGUGGAUUUGGCUGCCUGACCCUAACUCGGGAUAUUCAAUGUGAGGCGCUUACAAUUAGUAACCCAAAUUGUUCUGUCUUGUAUGAGCAUAAAGAGAUUAUAUGGAAUAAACUUGCGCCUUUGAAGGUGUCAAUCUUUGCUUGGCGGUUUUUAAACAACAUAUCUCUGAAGGAGAGUAUGAGGCGGCAUGGAAUGACUCUUGCGGAUCUGACGGUGUGUACAAGUGGUUGUGGUGUAGCUGAAACUUCCAAUCACUUGUUUCUUUUGUUGUGCUUUUGCUCAAUCCCUUUGUAUUAAAAUUCUGUCUUGGAUGAGCAUUUAUAGUAUGUUACCAAAUGUUGUGGAGGAUCAUGCAUGCUUUGCAAUUUUAUAAUUCUUUUAUGUUUGGUAAAGAAGUUCGAAUGGAUAUUCAGGUUGUUUUGGUAUAGAUUUAGUAAAACUAAUGAUUUCAUAAAUUACUCGGUAACAUGAAAAAAUAAUUAGGAAAGAAAGAAAAAAAAUCAGUAAUUCAGUGUAGAGAAACUAAACGCAAGAUUUUGGUACCAUACACAGAACUAGGGUUGGGAACAGGCCAAGCCUUGAUAGGCCUGAGUUUGGCCUACGAUUUUUCUUUAGGCAUGAGCCUGGCCUGCGGCCUAUCAAAUGUUAUUUUUUUUGGCCUGGCCUGAGCUUUUUAAAAGUCUGGUCUGGCCUUGUAGCCUAUUUAAAAGUCUGUGUUACAUUAAAACUUCUCUAUAUAGUCUUUUUAAAUAGGUUAACCAGGCCUUAAAAAGUUCAUAUUUAAAUUUUUAUAAUUUCUACAACAUUAAAAAAAAGCUAAUAAUAUGAUUAGCACAAUAAUUAAAAACUAAUAAAAUAACAAAUAUGAUUACGACAAAGUCGCCAUAAUACAAAUUGUUCGCUAAGUGUAGUCAGCAACAAGCCAACAACCAAAAUAUAGGAUGAGUUGCUACUUGCUUGAGAGAAUGAGAGAUGGAAUGAAGGUAGGGUUUCUAUUUUUAAUUUAUAUGCGUGAAAUAUAAAAACAAAUAUAUUUUCACUGUUUUAUUAAAAAAAAAAAAACUCUGAUAUUUUGUAUUUACAUAAAUAAUAUUUUUUUAUAAGAUAUAAAUAAUUAUUAUUAUAAACAGGACGGCCUAUCAGACUUUGUAGGCCUUUUUAGAAGCCCAAGCCUGACCUAUUUAUGUAAACAAACCGUUUUCAAAGCCUGACAUUUUUAAUAAUCAGGUCAAGCCAGACUUAUACAAGUCAGGCCGAAGACCCCUAUAGACCGCCUGGCCUAUUCCCAACCCAGAACAGAACAAUUCUCAGAAUAUUCUUAUGAGCUGCAAAAUGCAAAUCCAUCUUGUGGUACAAAAAAAAAACAAGUGCAUUAAACAGUCACAACUCACAACAAUUAAUAUAUAGCCACCUAAAUUCAUUCACUCUCCUUUAUUCNNNNNNNNNNNNNNNNNNNAAUCCAAGCCAAAAACCAAUUUUGAGAGCACUUUGAGAUACCCAUUUGGCUUCUUUUUCUUGUGAACAAGUUUUUUCUUUCUGGGUCAUUGAAAUUUUUCACAUUCUCUUUCUCACCUUUCAUAGAAAAAAAUGUCUAACAUUGUUAUUGUUUUCGACUUUGACAAAACCAUCAUUGAUUGUGACAGUGAUAACUGGUUGAUUGAUGAAUUGGGUUUCACUGAUUUGUUCAAUCAACUCCUUCCCACAAUGCCAUGGAAUUCUGUCAUGGUAUGUUUUUUAUACUCUGCAUGUGCUCUGUUUUUAUAAAUACUCUGUUUUCUGCAUUGUCUCAAUUUGCAUAAAUAAAUAACUUUGAUUAUUGUGUUUAUGUUAUUGAAUUAUAGGACAAAAUGAUGAUGGAGUUUCAUGCAAAUGGUGUAACAAUUGAAGAGAUUGAAAAGGUUCUUCAUAGGAUUCCAAUUCAUCACAGAAUAGUACCUGCAAUUAAAGCAGCUUAUGCUUUAGGGUGNNNNNNNNNNNNNNNNAGAAGGAAGGGUUAGAAUUUCACCUUACCAUGACUUCAACAAAUGUUCACAUGGUUGCACUCUUUGCCCUCCAAACAUGUGCAAGGUAUAUUCUUUUAU